ACCGCUUCUUGGCUUUUUGGCUAAGAUCAAGUGUAGUAUCUGUUCUUAUCAGUUUAAUAUCUGAUAAACUCUGGGAAUUGGUGAUGGACAGGGAGGCCUGGCGUGCUGCAGUCCAUGGGGUCACAAAGAGUCAGUCACGACUGAGUGAAUGAACUGAAUUGAGCUGAACUGAAUGUCCUCUAUUGAGAACAACAUAUUAAGUGGAUUUUUGGAGCAGGAAGUUGGAAUAGAGGCUUGCUCAGACAAAUACUUUACUGUGUAGACUCUCCUUGGUCCACUGGAGAAUUCUGGUGGUAGACU
rnacentral:snRNA from 1 species